rnacentral:rRNA from 1 species
CCCAGACUCCUACGGGAGGCAGCAGUAGGGAAUUUUCGGCAAUGGGGGGAACCCUGACCGAGCAACACCGCGUGAACGAAGAAGUUAUUCGUAAUGUAAAGUUCUUUUAUCAGGGAAGAAAGAGGAAUUUGACGGUACCUGAGGAAUAAGCUCCGGCUAACUACGUGCCAGCAGCCGCGGUAAUACGUAGGGAGCGAGCGUUAUCCGGAAUUAUUGGGCGUAAAGGGUGCGUAGAUGGCAUAGUAAGUCUUGUGUAAAAAUGCUGGGCGCAACCCAGCAGGGCAAAAGAUACUGGAAAGCUAGAGUAUGACAGAGGGAAGGGGAACUACAUGUGGAGCGGGAAAAUGCGGAA